UACAGAGGUCCCGAGCGUUGUUCGGAUUCAUUGGGCGUAAAGGGUGUGUAGGAGGUUAGGUCAGUCGGGCGUGAAAUCUCACCGCUUAACGGUGAAACUGCGUUCGAUACUGCUUGGCUAGGGUACUGGAGAGGAGACUGGAAUUUACGGUGUAGCAGUGAAAUGCGUAGAUAUCGUAAGGAAGACCAGUGGCGAAGGCGAGUCUCUGGACAGUUACCGACGCUGAGGCACGAAGGUCAGGGGAGCAAACGGG
rnacentral:rRNA from 1 species